rnacentral:rRNA from 1 species
AUUGAACGCUGGCGGCAGGCUUAACACAUGCAAGUCGAGCGGAGAUGAGGUGCUUGCACCUUAUCUUAGCGGCGGACGGGUGAGUAAUGCUUAGGAAUCUGCCUAUUAGUGGGGGACAACAUUCCGAAAGGAAUGCCAAUACCGCAUACGUCCUACGGGAGAAAGCAGGGGAUCUUCGGACCUUGCGCUAAUAGAUGAGCCUAAGUCGGAUUAGCUAGUUGGUGGGGUAAAGGCCUACCAAGGCGAGGAUCUGUAGCGGGUCUGAGAGGAUGAUCCGCCACACUGGGACUGAGGCACGGCCCAGACUCCUACGGGGGGCAGCAGUGGGGAAUAUUGGACAAUGGGGGGAACCCUGAUCCAGCCAUGCCGCGUGUGUGAAGAAGGCCUUAUGGUUGUAAAGCACUUUAAGCGAGGAGGAGGCUACUGAGACUAAUACUCUUGGAUAGUGGACGUUACUCGCAGAAUAAGCACCGGCUAACUCUGUGCCAGCCGCCGCAGUAAAAC